rnacentral:rRNA from 1 species
UACGUAGGGGCCUAGCGUUGUCCGGAAUUAUUGGGCGUAAAGAGCUCGUAGGCGGUUCGGCAAGUCGGAUGUGAAAUCUCCACGCUUAACGUGGAGGGGCCAUUCGAAACUGCUGUGACUCGAGUCCGGUAGGGGAGUGUGGAAUUCCCGGUGUAGCGGUGAAAUGCGCAGAUAUCGGGAGGAACACCAGUAGUGAAGGCGGCACUCUGGGCCGGUACUGACGCUGAGGAGCGAAAGCGUGGGGAGCGAACAGG